rnacentral:rRNA from 1 species
AGAGUUUGAUCAUGGCUCAGAUUGAACGCUGGCGGCAGGCCUAACACAUGCAAGUCGAGCGGAUGAAGGGAGCUUGCUUCUGGAUUCAGCGGCGGACGGGUGAGUAAUGCCUAGGAAUCUGCCUGGUAGUGGGGGAUAACGUCCGGAAACGGGCGCUAAUACCGCAUACGUCCUGAGGGAGAAAGUGGGGGAUCUUCGGACCUCACGCUAUCAGAUGAGCCUAGGUCGGAUUAGCUAGUUGGUGGGGUAAAGGCCUACCAAGGCGACGAUCCGUAACUGGUCUGAGAGGACGAUCAGUCACACUGGAACUGAGACACGGUCCAGACUCCUACGGGAGGCAGCAGUGGGGAAUAUUGGACAAUGGGCGAAAGCCUGAUCCAGCCAUGCCGCGUGUGUGAAGAAGGUCUUCGGAUUGUAAAGCACUUUAAGUUGGGAGGAAGGGCAGUAAGUUAAUACCUUGCUGUUUUGACGUUACCAACAGAAUAAGCACCGGCUAACUUCGUGCCAGCAGCCGCGGUAAUACGAAGGGUGCAAGCGUUAAUCGGAAUUACUGGGCGUAAAGCGCGCGUAGGUGGUUCAGCAAGUUGGAUGUGAAAUCCCCGGGCUCAACCUGGGAACUGCAUCCAAAACUACUGAGCUAGAGUACGGUAGAGGGUGGUGGAAUUUCCUGUGUAGCGGUGAAAUGCGUAGAUAUAGGAAGGAACACCAGUGGCGAAGGCGACCACCUGGACUGAUACUGACACUGAGGUGCGAAAGCGUGGGGAGUAAACAGGAUUAGAUACCCUGGUAGUCCACGCCGUAAACGAUGUCGACUAGCCGUUGGGAUCCUUGAGAUCUUAGUGGCGCAGCUAACGCGAUAAGUCGACCGCCUGGGGAGUACGGCCGCAAGGUUAAAACUCAAAUGAAUUGACGGGGGCCCGCACAAGCGGUGGAGCAUGUGGUUUAAUUCGAAGCAACGCGAAGAACCUUACCUGGCCUUGACAUGCUGAGAACUUUCCAGAGAUGGAUUGGUGCCUUCGGGAACUCAGACACAGGUGCUGCAUGGCUGUCGUCAGCUCGUGUCGUGAGAUGUUGGGUUAAGUCCCGUAACGAGCGCAACCCUUGUCCUUAGUUACCAGCACCUCGGGUGGGCACUCUAAGGAGACUGCCGGUGACAAACCGGAGGAAGGUGGGGAUGACGUCAAGUCAUCAUGGCCCUUACGGCCAGGGCUACACACGUGCUACAAUGGUCGGUACAAAGGGUUGCCAAGCCGCGAGGUGGAGCUAAUCCCAUAAAACCGAUCGUAGUCCGGAUCGCAGUCUGCAACUCGACUGCGUGAAGUCGGAAUCGCUAGUAAUCGUGAAUCAGAAUGUCACGGUGAAUACGUUCCCGGGCCUUGUACACACCGCCCGUCACACCAUGGGAGUGGGUUGCUCCAGAAGUAGCUAGUCUAACCGCAAGGGGGACGGUUACCACGGAGUGAUUCAUGACUGGGGUGAAGUCGUAACAAGGUAGCCGUAGGGGAACCUGCGGCUG